GAUGAACGCUGGCGGCGUGCCUAAUACAUGCAAGUCGAGCGAACAGAUGAGGAGCUUGCUCCUCUGACGUUAGCGGCGGACGGGUGAGUAACACGUGGAUAACCUACCUAUAAGACUGGGAUAACUUCGGGAAACCGGAGCUAAUACCGGAUAAUAUAUUGAACCGCAUGGUUCAAUAGUGAAAGACGGUUUUGCUGUCACUUAUAGAUGGAUCCGCGCCGCAUUAGCUAGUUGGUAAGGUAACGGCUUACCAAGGCGACGAUGCGUAGCCGACCUGAGAGGGGGAUGGGCCACACUGGAACUGAGACACGGGCCAGAACCCUACGGGAGGCAGCAGGAGGGAAUUUUCCGCAAGGGGCGAAAGCCUGACGGAGCAACGCCGGGUGAGUGAUGAAGGGCUUCGGAUCGUAAAACUUUGUUAUUAGGGAAGAAAAAAUGUGUAAGUAACUAUGCACGUUUUGACGGUACCUAAUCAAAAAGCCCCGGCUAACUACGG
rnacentral:rRNA from 1 species